rnacentral:rRNA from 1 species
UAUCCUUAUUUGCCAGCGCGUUAUGGCGGGAACUCUAAGGAGACUGCCGGUGAUAAACCGGAGGAAGGUGGGGACGACGUCAAGUCAUCAUGGCCCUUACGGGAUGGGCUACACGCGUGCUACAAUGGCAGGUACAAUGGCCUCAGAGGCCGCGAGGUGGAGCGAAUCCCACAGAGCUUGUCGUAGUCCGGAUUGGAGUCUGCAACUCGACUCCAUGAAGUCGGAAUCGCUAGUAAUCGUAGAUCAGAAUGCUACGGUGAAUACGUUC